rnacentral:tRNA from 1 species
GGUGUUGGUGGUGAGGUUUAAUGUCUCUUCCUUGA